CUACGGGAGGCACCAGUGGGGAAUAUUGGACAAUGGAGGAAACUCUGAUCCAGCCAUGCCGCGUGAGUGAAGAAGGCCUUCGGGUUGUAAAGCUCUUUUGUCCCUGACGAUAAUGACGGUAAGGGAAGAAAAAGCCACGGCUAACUUCGUGCCAGCAGCCGCGGUAAUACGAAGGUGGCAAGCGUUGUUCGGAUUUACUGGGCGUAAAGCGUGCGUAGGCGGUUUAACAAGUCAGGAGUGAAAGCCCAAGGCUCAACCCUGGAAUUGCUUUUGAAACUGUUAGACUCGAAUCCGGUAGAGGUUGGCGGAAUUCCCAGUGUAGAGGUGAAAUUCGCAGAUAUUGGGAGGAACACCAGUGGCGUAAGCGGCCAACUGGACCGGUAUUGACGCUGAGGCACGAAAGCAUGGGGAGCAAACAGGAUUAGAUACCCUUGUAGUC
rnacentral:rRNA from 1 species